rnacentral:rRNA from 1 species
UACGGGAGGAUGCAAGCGUUAUCCGGAAUUAUUGGGACGUAAAGCGUCCGCAGGUGGUUCAUCAAGUCUGCUGUCAAAGCGCGAGGCUUAACUCGUAAAGGCAGUGGAAACUGAUAGACUGGAGUGCGGUGAGGGCAGAGGGAAUUCCCAGUGUAGCGGUGGAAAUGACGUAGAUAUUGGGAAGAACACCGGUGGCGAAAGCG